GAACUUUCUGUGUGUGCUGCAAACAAGCCAUGUGCAUUGUGCAAUCAGAAACAUAUCAAAGGGUCUAUAAAGACAUUACUGACCAUGAAAUGAGAAGAUGCAUAGGAGAUAGCUUCACCAAUCCCACACAAGAAUUGUUUGUGGUCACAGGCCGGUGCCAAAUUCAAGAUCAUAGAACAGAUACAGAUGGACAUCAUAUUAUAUUUUUUUUGUUCUGUCAAAAUUAUUGUGCAUCUGCAUUAUACUUGUAC